GCCAACUUAGCUCAGUCGGUAGAGCGUCGGACUUUUAAUCCGACGGCCGCGGGUUCGAGUCCCGUAGUUGGUG
rnacentral:tRNA from 1 species